GCACAAGCGGUGGAGCAUGUGGUUAAUUCGAAGCAACGCGAAGAACCUUACCAGGUCUUGACAUCCCGAUGCUAUUUCUAGAGAUAGAAAGUUACUUCGGUACAUCGGUGACAGGUGGUGCAUGGUUGUCGUCAGCUCGUGUCGUGGGAUGUUGGGUUAAGUCCCGCAACGAGCGCAACCCCUAUUGUUAGUUGCCAUCAUUCAGUUGGGCACUCUAGCGAGACUGCCGGUAAUAAACCGGAGGAAGGUGGGGAUGACGUCAAAUCAUCAUGCCCCUUAUGACCUGGGCUACACACGUGCUACAAUGGUCGGUACAGAGGGUUGCCAACCCGCGAGGGGGAGCUAAUCCCACAAAGCCGAUCGUAGUCCGGAUCGCAGUCUGCAACUCGACUGCGUGAAGUCGGAAUCGCUAGUAAUCGUGGAUCAGCAUGUCACGGUGAAUACGUUCCCGGGUCUU
rnacentral:rRNA from 1 species